rnacentral:lncRNA from 7 species
AUGGGACAGGUGGGGGACGAAGGGGGCAGGGGGGAAGGGGGACAUCACCAUGGGGGCAGGUGGGGGACAUAUGGGGACGUAACCAUGGGGACAUAUGGGGGCAUCACCAUGGGGACAGGUGGGGACAUCACCAUGGGGGCAUAUGGGGACACAUGGGGGCAUAUGGGGAAAUAAGGGGACAUCACCAUGGGACAGGUGGGGUUAUGGGACAUAACCAUGGGGACAUAUGGGGACACCACCAUGGGGACAUAUGGGGGCAUCACCAUGGGGACAUAUGGGGGCAUAUGGGGAAAUAAGGGGACACCACCAUGGGGACAUAUGGGGACAUCACCAUGGGGACAUGUGGGGGCAUCACCAUGGGGACAUAUGGGGACAUAUGGGGGCAUCACCAUGGGGACAUAUGGGGACAUCACCAUGGGGACAUAUAGGGACAUCACCAUGGGGACACGUGGGGGUUAUGGGGACGUAACCAUGGGGACAUAUGGGGACACCACCAUGGGGACAUAUGGGGGCAUAUGGGGAAAUAAGGGGACACCACCAUGGGGACAUAUGGAGACAUCACCAUGGGGACAGGUGGGGGUUAUGGGGACACCACCAUGGGGACAUAUGGGGACACCCCCAUGGGGACACAUGGGGGUUAUGGGGACACCGCCAUGGGGACAUCACUUUGGGGCACCGCUUUGCUGUCACCGUUUUGGGGACAUGCACGCUUCUGGGUCCUCCAGCCCCGCCCACCUGGGUCCUCCAGCCCCACCUAUCUGGGUCCUCCAGCCCCGCCCAUCUGUGUCCUCCAGCCCCACCUAUCUGGGUCCUCCAGCCCCACCUAUCUCGGUCCUCCAGCCCCGCCCAUCUGGGUCCUCCAGCCCCACCUAUCCGGGUCCUCCAGCCCCGCCCAUCGGGGGUCCUCCAAGCCCCACCUAUCCGGGUCCUCCAGCCCCACCCAUCUGGGUCCUCCAGCCCCACCUAUCUGGGUCCUCCAGCCCCGCCCAUCUAGGUCCUCCAGCCCCGCCCAUCUAGGCCCUCCAGCCCCACCUAUCUAGGUCCUCCAGCCCCGCCCAUCCGGGUCCUCCAGCCCCGCCCAUCCGGGUCCUCCAGCCCCGCCUAUCCGGGUCCUCCAGCCUCGCCUAUCCGGGUCCUCCAGCCCCGCCCAUCGGGGUCCUCCAGCCCCACCUAUCCGGGUCCUCCAGCCCCACCUAUCUCGGUCCUCCAGCCCCGCCCAUCUGGGUCCUCCACCCUCACCCACCUGGGUCCUCCAGCCCCGCCCAUCGGGGUCCUCCAGCCCCACCUAUCUGGAUCCUCCAGCCCCGCCCGUCCAGGUCCUCCAGCCCCGCCCAUCUAGGUCCUCCAGCCCCGCCCAUCCGAGUCCUCCAGCCCCGCCCAUCCGGGUCCUCCAGCCCCACCUAUUUGGGUCCUCCAGCCCCGCCCAUCGGGGUCCUCCAGCCCCACCUAUCUGGGUCCUCCAGCCCCGCCCAUCUGGGUCCUCCAGCCCCACCCAGCCGGGUCCUCCAGCCCCGCCUAUCUGGGUCCUCCAGCCCCGCCCAUCUGGGUCCUCCAGCCCCACCCAUCUGGGUCCUCCAGCCCCGCCCAUCCAGGUCCUCCAGCCCCGCCUAUCUGGGUCCUCCAGCCCCGCCCAUCUGGGUCCUCCAGCCCCACCUAUCCGGGUCCUCCAGCCCCACCCAUCUGGGUCCUCCAGCCCCACCUAUCUGGGUCCUCCAGCCCCACCCAUCUGGGUCCUCCAGCCCCGCCCAUCCAGGUCCUCCAGCCCCGCCUAUCUGGGUCCUCCAGCCCCGCCCAUCUGGGUCCUCCAGCCCCACCUAUCCGGGUCCUCCAGCCCCACCCAUCUGGGUCCUCCAGCCCCACCUAUCUGGGUCCUCCAGCCCCACCCAUCCGGGUCCUCCACCCCCGCCUAUCUCGGUCCUCGAGCCCCGCCCAUCCGGGUCCUCCAGCCCCACCUAUCUCGGUCCUCCAGCCCUGCCCAUCUGGGUCCUCCAGCCCCACCCAUCUGGGUCCUCCAGCCCCCUUGGUUGUCACGGUGACGGCGGGGGGUGUCCCUUACCUGUGAGCGGGGCCCUCAUGGACCGAGCGGGGCGGUUGUUGCCGGGUGAUUCGGCGGGGGGUCACAGCCUGCAAGGCCACCUGGAAGGACACAGCGCUGUCAGAACCGCGGUGACAUCACGGUGACAUCACGGUGACAGCGCGGUGACAUCACAGUGACAGCCCGGUGACAGCAUGGUGACAACCAACUGCAAUCUGUACAGCAUCCCUGGGACAGCCCCACAACACCCCCAUGGCAACCCCGUGACAUCACCAUGACAACCCCACAACAACCCCAUGACAUCGCCAUGCCAUCACCAUGGCAACCCCACAACAAUGCCAUGACAACCCCACA